CCCAGUAAACGGCGGCCGUAACUAUAACGGUCCUAAGGUAGCGAAAUUCCUUGUCGGGUAAGUUCCGACCCGCACGAAAGGCGUAACGAUUUGGGCACUGUCUCAACGAGAGACUCGGUGAAAUCAUAGUACCUGUGAAGAUGCAGGUUACCCGCGACAGGACGGAAAGACCCCGUGGAGCUUUACUGUAGCCUGAUAUUGAAAUUCGGCACAGCUUGUACAGGAUAGGUAGGAGCCUUUGAAACGUGAGCGCUAGCUUACGUGGAGGCGCUGGUGGGAUACUACCCUAGCUGUGUUGGCUUUCUAACCCGCACCACUUAUCGUGGUGGGAGACAGUGUCAGGCGGGCAGUUUGACUGGGGCGGUCGCCUCCUAAAAGGUAACGGAGGCGCUCAAAGGUUCCCUCAGAAUGGUUGGAAAUCAUUCAUAGAGUGUAAAGGCAUAAGGGAGCUUGACUGCGAGACCUACAAGUCGAGCAGGGUCGAAAGACGGACUUAGUGAU
rnacentral:rRNA from 1 species